GAUGAACGCUGGCGGCGUGCUUAACACAUGCAAGUCGAACGAAGCACUUUAUUUGAUUUCCUUCGGGACUGAUUAUUUUGUGACUGAGUGGCGGACGGGUGAGUAACGCGUGGGUAACCUGCCUUGUACAGGGGGAUAACAGUCGGAAACGGCUGCUAAUACCGCAUAAGCGCACAGUAUAGCAUGAUGCAGUGUGAAAAACUCCGGUGGUAUAAGAUGGACCCGCGUUGGAUUAGCUAGUUGGUGAGGUAACGGCCCACCAAGGCGACGAUCCAUAGCCGACCUGAGAGGGUGACCGGCCACAUUGGGACUGAGACACGGCCCAAACUCCUACGGGAGGCAGCAGUGGGGAAUAUUGCACAAUGGGCGAAAGCCUGAUGCAGCGACGCCGCGUGAGCGAAGAAGUAUUUCGGUAUGUAAAGCUCUAUCAGCAGGGAAGAUAAUGACGGUACCUGACUAAGAAGCACCGGCUAAAUACGUGCCAGCAGCCGCGGUAAUACGUAUGGUGCAAGCGUUAUCCGGAUUUACUGGGUGUAAAGGGAGCGCAGGCGGUGCGGCAAGUCUGAUGUGAAAGCCCGGGGCUCAACCCCGGUACUGCAUUGGAAACUGUCGUACUAGAGUGUCGGAGGGGUAAGCGGAAUUCCUAGUGUAGCGGUGAAAUGCGUAGACAUUAGGAGGAACACCAGUGGCGAAGGCGGCUUACUGGACGAUAACUGACGCUGAGGCUCGAAAGCGUGGGGAGCAAACAGGAUUAGAUACCCUGGUAGUCCACGCCGUAAACGAUGAAUAAUGGGUGUUGGGGAAGCAUUGCUUUUCGGUGCCGUCGCAAACGCAGUAAGUAUUCCACCUGGGGAGGUACGUUCGCAAGAAUGAAACUCAAAGGAAUGACGGGGACCCGCACAAGCGGUGGAGCAUGUGGUUAAUUCGAAGCAACGCGAAGAACCUUACCAAGUCUUGACAUCCUUCUGACCGGUACUUAACCGUACCUUCUCUUCGGAGCAGGAGUGACAGGUGGUGCAUGGUUGUCGUCAGCUCGUGUCGUGAGAUGUUGGGUUAAGUCCCGCAACGAGCGCAACCCUUAUCUUUAGUAGCCAGCGGUUUGGCCGGGCACUCUAGAGAGACUGCCAGGGAUAACCUGGAGGAAGGCGGGGAUGACGUCAAAUCAUCAUGCCCCUUAUGACUUGGGCUACACACGUGCUACAAUGGCGUAAACAAAGGGAAGCAAAGCUGUGAAGCCGAGCAAAUCUCAAAAAUAACGUCUCAGUUCGGACUGUAGUCUGCAACCCGACUACACGAAGCUGGAAUCGCUAGUAAUCGCAGAUCAGAAUGCUGCGGUGAAUACGUUCCCGGGUCUUGCAC
rnacentral:rRNA from 1 species